GUUGGAAUCUGAGAUGGGUGAGAAAGGAAGAUCAGGACAAGGCAUAAAGUCUAAAAGAAUUUUUCAGUCUGUAGACUUGCAAAUCCCUGUAACAAUAGCCUUCCACAAACAGACAGUUGGUUAACACAAGAUAAACUGUUACAGAAAUAAAAUUAAGUUAAUGUAAACAAGGUCCAAAGGUCAGAUGGUAUUCACCCACAUGUGCUUUGGGAGCUCAUCUGUCAUGAUCUGGAGCAGGUCAGAUAGGAGACUUUGGCCAGGGUUGUUAUUUGAGACUUUAUUGGUGCUUUUAGACAUAUUAUGAAACUUGAGAAAAAACAGAAUUAAGGCAAUAUGCCACAAAACUGGAUACUUGCAAAUAAUAAAGAAAGUCUGUGAUCUCCAGGUAGGGUUGAAACAAAGGCAGGUUGGUAUCAAAGGCAGGCUGGUUACAGAGGCAGGCUGGUAACAGUGGAAGGCUGAUAACAGAGGCAGGCUUGUAACACAGGAAGGCUGUUAACAGAGGCAGAGGUCAAAAUCAUACGUAAGAGUCGGGCAGGUUUGAAGGUAAGUCUAGAGCAGGUUGGUAUGGAGCAGGGUUGAGGCUAAGUCUGGAGCAGGUUCACAGGAGCCAGGAACUGAAGUCUUUCAGGAAAAUCACCAACUUCAAUGUAAAGGCCUUGAGGUUAGUUGGGUGUAGCCUUUUGUAGCUGAAGCAAGUAAUUAAACAUGAGCAGGUGAGAUUCCAGAACUAGAGGGAAGGGAGGCCACUAGUGGUAAGUAAUAAAAUCAGAGCAGGA